UAAAUGCUAAAAUGCUCACAGGGUUCCUCCAGCUGUGACUUCUACCUUUUACACAGGAAUUGUUACUUCCAGGGAGGUGUGUGAGGACUUUCCUCUGUUUGCGACCGUUAAUCUCUGUAACAGUUGUGACUGCAGAGCCUCAUUCAGCUCAGAGUGUAUGAAAACGUCGAGGGGCGCGGCGACAGAGAGGUUGAGGUUGAGCGGACAACAGGUUAUAUCCUAGACCUAAUGUCUAUGGGUUAUAUGAUGCACGGGGAAAUAAAGUAGCAGAAGUUGAACCUUUUGGAGGACUUUGCGGUGCACAAGACUCCGAAUAUCAUUUACACAGUGAGGUUACAAUGAGAACGGCUGUUGAAUAAUUGAUGACCAGUUUCGAGAGAGCGACCAAGUGACCAGGUCUGUUGGUGUGACAUAUUGUCAGGGCGUUGUCUUCUUUAAUCAAGGAGAUCUGAUGGCCCUCAUGGAAAUUCUGGGUGCCUACCGAGCAUCUGACAGGCCGACUUGCCAACAGCUGUUGUCAGCAUCAUCAAUCAAGAAAAGAUUGAAUCCAUCUCAUCUCCAGCAUAGCCAACUUGACGUCAUAACUGAACAACUCCACUGGAGCCACACUCGGAUCCUUGUUUGACAGACACUGUGACGGAGACUGUUAAAUGUAUAACGGGAGCGGUGUUCAUAUGAGCCUGGAAUAUCCAUUCCUCAAAUUUUGCACCACACUGACAAAAUCUUGCUGCAGGUUUAGCAUCUCCCAUACAUUACAUACAUGCUAAUUUAAAGAAAUAACCUGCCAAAAGUCAAUAUCACCAUUAUAGAAUUCACUUAGACAGGUGGCUCUGAAAUGUUUGUUGCAUGCUCAUUUGCAGAGACCAGCAUCUGUAGUCUACAUUGAUUCACAGUCGUGACAAUGGAUUCCUAUGGUGACCCAGGUCCACAGCAAAAAACAAAAUGUCCAGUAUCGGUAUGAUUGCAGCUGCACAGCAUGUGUCUUUUAUCUUAGAUAACAUACCCAUGGUAUGACUACUGUGCAUCCCAUGUGAAAGCUGUUUGUCUAUGAAAACACACAUGAGGACCAUGAAACAAGUAAGGGAUAAUCAAGAGCAAGCGGCUCAUUAUUGGGAAUUGAACCCGGACAGGGUGAUGCAGGACCCUGACUACUUAUUACACUGCUACUUAGCCUAGCCUACUAAAGAAAUAAAAAAUUUGACACAAAAUAUUAAUUUAAAAUUGGUCUGCCAGAGUCUAUGAUCAGAACUGUGUCCAUAACAGUCUGUUAUUCAGAAAUAACAGACCAAAUUAUGUCCUAAUUGACCAAUCAGAAUCAAUUCAAGCCAACAAAACUAUGUAAUAUUGUAAGUAUAAUGGAGUCUAGUCUUCAACAAAACUAUUUAGGGAUUUUAUAGGACAUGGGCGGAUGACGACAUUUAGGUCACAGGGACCCUCUCGGACACAGAAAGUAUGAAGCUCACUUCAACCCCAGUCUAGGAAGCUGCAAGGCAAAACGCCGCUGAUUCAUGGUCACAGACUAUUUUUGUUAUCUUUUGGCAUUGGGAAUCUAUUUCAGCAAGGAUAUUUUCUGUGGUGUUCAUUUUGUGUUUUUAUUCAGACACUGCCUCUGUGCGUUCAACGGGAGGUAGCCCUACACACUCACAUGGACAAAAAUCGGACAUGCCAGAGCUCUGUGCCAGUGAGCAUCGUCCAAUCUUAAGCACUGGCUGGCAUGGUGACUCAGAGGCUUCUGAGGAUAACUCUGAAAGAGCAUACCUUUUUACUGAGAUACGAAAACAAAUUUCAAAAAGAGAACAGUUGGCUUUGAAUAAAGUGUUCAGACGUAAAGUCUCAUCAACCAAGCAUGGGCAUGGAAAGGCUGACAGCUUAAUGGAAUUGUUAGUUCAACUAUGAGAUGCAUGAGUGUAUUAUUGGAAAAGCAAUGAAAGAGAUGCUUUGCUAACAAAAAAUAUGACACAACAAUAUGGCUGACACCUUGUUCACAGUUCAAUCUGUCACAGUUGGAUCUGUCACACAGAGAUGACAUGUUUGCAUGAGCUGCACGCAAUAUGUGAAAAAGUUUAAUUAUGGCAGUUUCUAUUGUACAUACUUAGUCAAAGCAAGUUAAUACUGG